GACGAACGCUGGCGGCGUGGAUUAGGCAUGCAAGUCGAACGGUAGGAUACCUUCGGGUAUCUGAGAGUGGCGAACGGGUGAGUAACACGUAGGUGAUCUACCCUCAAGAUUGGGACAACCCAGGGAAACUUGGGCUAAUACCGGAUGAAAGCAGCAGUGAUGUUGUUUGAAAGGUGGCGUAAGCUGCCGUUUGGGGAUGAGCCUGCGCUCUAUUAGUUAGUUGGCGGGGUAAAGGCCCACCAAGGCGAUGAUAGAUAGGCGGCCUUAACGGGUGGUCGCCCACACUGGGAUUGAGAUACGGCCCAGACUCCUACGGGAGGCAGCAGUCGAGAAUAGUCUACAAUGGUCGGAAGACUGAUAGUGCGACGCCGCGUGAACGAUGAAUCCCUUCGGGGUGUAAAGUUCUUUUAUAUGUGAGCAGUGCUUCUUAUAUUAACAGUAUGGGGAGAGAGAUAUUAGCAUAUGAAUAAAGCAACGGCUAACUCCGUGCCAGC
rnacentral:rRNA from 1 species